UACUACAAUAAACAGUUGGAUUGGCACAAUGUGGUGGCAACUUGUGAGUUUCAAAGUUCAGAUGAUAGUUGUCAUUGCGGCUGUACACUUCUAACGAGUAUCUCCCUGUUCUUGCAGCUUUGGUGAUUCAGAUUGCCUUUGGCUUACUAAUGAUUAAAUUGAUAAUUCAUGACUUGCAAUUUUAUUUUUUGGACCAUGUUGCUUGCCAUGUCCACAGGAAAUGAAGUGUCCGCAAAGGAAAUUUUUUGACUUUGGUUCUCAUACAUACUUUCUAUAUUAUGGUAAAAAAUGGUUAGGAGUUCCAUUAUUUGGAGGAAAUAACUCUGGAUAAUUUGGAGAGAUGGAUCAGAGAAACUGUAACCGACCUCAAAUGAUUCUGGCAAAACUUUGAUUCUCUUUUCAGGAUUAAAAUGUGUGGCCCAGUUACAUGGAUUUGAUGCUGAGAGUCAUUACUCAAAUAACUUGGGCUACUUCAACAGGGAUGAACUAGUUAUGAAUUGACAAUCCUGUGGAUCUAUAGUCAGGUUGAGUCAGCUGAUGUGCAUUUUGGCUAUCUCAAAUGCUACUUGGAGAAUGCCAAUAGUCAUUCACUAGGUUGUGAUUACAUCUGCUGUGACAUGCUGCCUAAGAUUGCCAAUCUUUUCAAACAGGACACAUUUAUGUCAACUUCGGCGGAAAAUGGGUGUUCUUGCUGGAGAUUAAUGCUUUAGCAUGACAUCUAUUUGAGAACAUCCUUCUUUUGAAGAACAUGAAGUUGUCCUCCUUGAGGAACUCCACAACAAGGCGAGUCUUCUCUAAGAAAUUUCAGUUUAUUCAUGUCCUCCUCUUAACGUAUCAUUGUUGGAUGUGAUCUUGAUUCUACUGUGAAUGUUCAGAAAUCUUUACAUAGCAUUUACUCGACAAGUUUCCUUCUUCUAUAAGGGUCAUUCCUCUACUUGCUGAAGGUGUUAUACAUUAUGUAGGUGUAAUGAAUUUUUUCUGUUUAAUCAGAAGAAGUAGGUUGCUAGAGUAAUGAUAUUAGAUUGCACAGUUGGUUACCUGUCCACAUACAAACACUUGUUGUUUAUGUUGUAUAACUAACAUUUUAUGGGCCUAGCUUAUGGAAUCUCCAGUACCAGAACCUUUUCAGUUGGAUGACUGUCAAUUCUGUGAACUUUUCCAUUGUUGGACCAUCAAAUUAUUUUAUGAAAUUG